CGCCCGUCGCUCCUACCGAUUGGGUGUGCUGGUGAGAUGUCGGGAUUAGUGGCUGUGGGCGGCUCGCCGCCCUCUGCCGCUGAGAACUUCAUCAAACCCUCCCACCUAGAGGAAGGAGAAGUCGUAACAAGGUUCCU
rnacentral:rRNA from 1 species